AUUGAACGCUGGCGGCAGGCCUAACACAUGCAAGUCGGGCGGAUGACGGGAGCUUGCUCCUUGAUUCAGCGGCGGACGGGUGAGUAAUGCCUAGGAAUCUGCCUGGUAGUGGGGGACGACGUUUCGAAAGGAACGCUAAUACCGCAUACGUCCUACGGGAGAAAGCAGGGGACCUUCGGGCCUUGCGCUAUCAGAUGAGCCUAGGUCGGAUUAGCUAGUAGGUGAGGUAAUAGCUCACCUAGGCGACGAUCCGUAACUGGUCUAAGAGGAUGAUCAGUAACACUGGAACUGAGACACGGUCCAGACUCCUACGGGAGGCAGCAGUGGGGAAUAUUGGACAAUGGGCGAAAGCCUGAUCCAGCCAUGCCGCGUGUGUGAAGAAGGUCUUCGGAUUGUAAAGCACUUUAAGUUGGGAGGAAGGGUUGUACGUUAAUACCGUGCAAUUUUGACGUUACCGACAGAAUAAGCACCGGCUAACUCUGUGCCAGCAGCCGCCGUAA
rnacentral:rRNA from 1 species